ACAGAUAAAUAUGAAAAGAUUGUUGAGGCUUUAUUUUUGCUCAUACACCAGAAAUAAUAUUUUUUCAUGGAAUCAAGAAGCAUAUUUCUUAUCUCUUAAUUUCUUCCUCUCAGCAACAACAUCCCCAAAUGAUGCUGAUGUUGCCGCUGUUGCCAGCCGAAUUGAGGAGCUGGUGGCAAGUGUUAAGAGGAGGUCCCAGCGUCUUUACAAGGAUAGUGACGGAUGCAAAGGACGUGCCCGAAUCCGCCGAAAGAUCAGGGAGGAAAAAAAAAUCUUAAAUUCUGUAGUGGAAAAGUAUAACACCUUGGUUCCUAAUGCAGAAAAACUGACAUUGGACACCAUUCUAUCUGAUGAGAUUGUUUGGCGAUGGCAGCUUACACACGGUGACUCUGUAGAUCUAAGGACAAAGAGGAAGGCGUUCGACAUUGUGAUGGCAGUAAGGAGACUUGAGGAGGAGAAGAGGAUUCUUAUUGCAGAGAUGAACAAGCAUUGGAAGUCUCUUUGCUCCCGUGCAGACACCCUGAAGCAGAUGUCAUCCCAGCUUUCUAAUGUGACAUCAGGUAUGUAUGUUAUACUUGGCAUACAUUACAAUAUUUCUGAAUUUUUCUAAUUAAUAAAGGCUCAAUAUGUUUUAACAUGUAAGGUGAGACGUGGGGCCUGCUUCAAGAUGGUAUCCGAGGUCUACAGAGCUUGACGAUGAAGAACAAGCAAGCAAGCAACAGCCUGGCAAAGCAUGCAAAGAAAUAUUAUGUUCAAGUUCUGACUGAAACAGAAAUUAACUUUGAUAGUGAUUCUGAGGAAUACCAUACCAAUAGUGACUCUGAGCAAGAUUAAACAUGGCCAGAGUCCUUUUUUAUGCUGUUGUGUGCUGGGGAGGCAGCAUUAAGAAGAGGGCCGCUGGGACAGGUUGGUAAGGAAAGCUGGCUCUGUGUUUGGCAUGGAGCUGGAGUUAAUCAUUUAACAAACUGAGGAUAAUUUGCAGUAGCAGUCUUCUGUCAUGCUCAACAUUGAGGAGGUCCUUUGUCCCCAGGGCAUACCAGCAACUCAAUGUCACAGAAAAGGUUAGGGGAGAAAUGGACUUUUCAGCAUGAGUCUCACCCUGCGCCAACCAUUACAUCGCUUUGUCUAUUGUCUAGUAUCCACUAUCCAUUUGACUGUCUUACAGGCUACAUUAGCCCCUCUACACAUUCUGGACUGUGGUUUCAACAUUUACCCCUGUUGGCUUGUAUAAUCUUUUCUCUUUUUAUAUAUAUAUAUAUUUAAGUUUCUGUUUUUCUAUCUAUUUUAACUUCCUUGUAUUGUUUUUGUUAAGCAAUACUAUUAUGCUCAGACUCUUUUUUCCAUAGUCAUAUUAAACAUGCACAGCUUUGCACUGAUUAAAUCCCUGCACUGUUUACUUUUGCACUACCACCACUGCAAAUCACUCUAUAGCUGCCCAUCAUGUAUCACAGGGUCAGUCCCUACCAGGCCUUUGUAAUCACUUGACAUGCUCUUCACUUUUUACAUUUGUGAUUUUUGUUAUGUGUCUGAGCUGUGUGUUGUUUUUGUGGUUGUAUAAGCUAAUAAAUGCCUAAAAUGUGGUGUGUCGUCUUAAGUAGCCUACAGUGUCUGUACUAGGGGGAAGAAGACAUUUCAUCAUGACAGUUUCCUCCAUCUCCUAGAGACAUCUUACAUGGAUACACAGAUAACAUUUAUUCACGAGAUCAU
ensembl:lncRNA